GAAGUGCGAUAAGCAAUGCGAAUUGCAGAAUUCCGCGAAUCAUCAGAUCUUUGAACGCAAAUGGCGCCAGAGGGAUAUCCUUUUGGCAUGUCUGUUUCAGUGUCUGAGAGGUUUCACCACUAUCUUAAUGUGAUUGAUGGAUUUUUGGGUGGGUUUACCCCCUCCUUUAAAAACAUCUCUCAUGAAAGAUGUUCGAGUGGAUCUUUCGGUCCAAUGAAGUGGUCACAUCACUCGCAUGUGAUUUCAUUGGGAUCACCGAAUUAUCCGCAUGCUCGAAGUACACUCUCAUUCACUGCUCACGCAGUGAAUCACUCCACACCCUGCAUCUGAGACAGGCAAGAUCACCCGCUGAACUUAA
rnacentral:misc_RNA from 1 species